rnacentral:rRNA from 1 species
GACGAACGCUGGCGGCGUGCUUAACACAUGCAAGUCGUACGGUAAGGCCCUUUCGGGGGUACACGAGUGGCGAACGGGUGAGUAACACGUGAGUAACCUGCCCACAACUUUGGGAUAACGCUAGGAAACUGGUGCUAAUACUGGAUAUGUGCUCCUGCUGCAUGGUGGGGGUUGGAAAGCUCCGGCGGUUGUGGAUGGACUCGCGGCCUAUCAGCUUGUUGGUGGGGUAGUGGCCUACCAAGGCGGCGACCGGUAGCCGGCCUGAGAGGGUGACCGGCCACAUUGGGACUGAGAUACGGCCCAGACUCCUACGGGAGGCAGCAGUGGGGAAUAUUGCACAAUGGGCGCAAGCCUGAUGCAGCAACGCCGCGUGCGGGAUGACGGCCUUCGGGUUGUAAACCGCUUUCAGCAGGGACGAAGCUUUUUGUGACGGUACCUGCAGAAGAAGCACCGGCUAACUACGUG